CACGUAGGGGGCAAGCGUUGUCCGGAUUUAUUGGGCGUAAAGAGCUCGUAGGCGGUUCGCUAAGUCGGGUGUGAAACCUCCAGGCUCAACCUGGAGACGCCACCUGAUACUGGUGUGACUCGAGUCCGGUAGGGGAGCGUGGAAUUCCUGGUGUAGCGGUGAAAUGCGCAGAUAUCAGGAGGAACACCGGUGGCGAAGGCGGCUUUCUGGACAGAAACUGACGCUGAGGCGCGAAAGCUAGGGGAGCAAACGGG
rnacentral:rRNA from 1 species